GUUUUCAAUUCAAUCGGUCGGCACUCCCGAACCGCGUUAACACGGCGCGACGAACCACAAUUUUACGAUCAACGACGUCGCCGUACUCUGCGUGAUACCAC